CCUACGGGAGGCAGCAGUGGGGAAUAUUGCACAAUGGGGGAAACCCUGAUGCAGCGACGCCGCGUGAGGGAUGAAGUAUUUCGGUAUGUAAAGCUCUAUCAGCAGGGAAGAAAAUUACGGUACCUGACUAAGAAGCCCCGGCUAACUACGAUCCAGCAGCCGCGGGAAGACGUAGGGGGCAAGGGUUAUCCGGAGUUACUGGGUGUAAUGGGAGCGUAGUGGGGGGUGCAAGCCAGGUGUGAAAGUCCGGGGCUCAACCGCGGGACUGCAUUUGAAACUGUAAGGCUGGAGUGGCGGAGAGGCAGGCGGAAUGCGUGGUGUAGCGGUGAAAUGCGUAGAUAUCAGGAGGAACACCAAUGGCGAAGGCGGCCUGCUGGACGGUGACUGACGUGGAGGCUCGAAAGUGUGGGGAGCAAACAGGAUUAGAUACCCCAGUAGUC
rnacentral:rRNA from 1 species